UGGUCCUCAAAAUACUGUUCUCCCUGACUGCAUGUGUGCUGUCUCCUCUGUAGCUCCCAGGAUGUCUGCUCUCCACAUUCCCAGUGGCAUCAUGCUCUCUGUACAGAACCUGGCUCUGUGUCACAUAGGACUUCUAAACUGAUGAUGUUCUCCACAUCCUCUCCUGAACUGUGGACCAAUCCAGCAAUACAGGCAGAAGGAACAACUCAACCACCACCAUCUGGUGGCUGCAUCCCAGUGCUCUAUCCUAUUUUCCAUGCUUGGUUAUCUCACACACUGGCUCAAGCAAGCAGAAAAUCUCAUGAUCACAGGUAACAAACAGGAAGAUAUUUGUGGAAUACAUAAGGCGCAGCUGUUCUUACCACUUUAUGAUCUCCAGUACAAUGAAAUCCUCAUUUGCGCAUCUUCAUAAAAUACAUAGUGCCUGCAUAAAAUACAUAGUGUCUGCAUCUAGCAAAGAUAAGCUGCCUUAACAUGGUUGUUGCAAAGAUGAAGAAAUCCUAGCAUAUCCUUGCAUCAUAGCAUUUAAGGCAGCUUGCAGGUUCUGAAGCAAUCCUGGGAUUGUCUUGCAGUUCUAGUCACUGCACAGCCACCCCUCUGCCUGAAGGGCAAGAGUGUGAACUGCUGCUGCCAUGGAAGAAGCCAUGGCAUUUGCUGUUGAGGAGCCUGAAUAAAACACAGCUUCCCUGAGAAAUGUUUGGAAAUGCAUGCUGUGUGUGCUAGCUUGUGCAGCACCGCACUGAUUGCUGUCAGCCCUUUUUCAUGACCUCAAGGCAUUGUCUGAUAUGAUUCCCAAGAUCAAGGAUAUGGAUAGCACUUAGAAGUCUGUUGCCUGCUUUGCCACAGACUUCCUGUGUGACUUCCUUAAACUGAAACAUACAAUGUAACUGCUCUACUGAAGUCUUGCCCCUAAAGUGUAUUGAGAAUAAAGCUUUAUGAGCCUUAUGAAGUAUGAGGAAUGCUUAGAAAUUACCUGAAGUGCUUGGUUAAAUAAAGCAAAUACACAAUAAAUUU